CAUUAUUGAAUAAACCUGAUGAGUUGCUGCUGGUUCUCUAGGGGACAUUGUGCACACUUGUCAUCUUUAUGUCUCCACAUGUGCACCUUUUGUAGACCUGGAUGUAUUUUCUCAAUGCGCUAGCGUGUUCAGGUUUGAGGAUUGGCUUUCAACUGCCUCUCCUUGCAUAUCCAGGCCUAUGUCUUUGUUCAUAUACUCCAAAUGUAUGUUACAGAAUGUAUUUAUUGGACUUUUUGCGAAGCCCAUGUAAUCUAUUACAACUUUCAGCAACGGAUCUCUUGGCUCUCGCAUCGAUGAAGAACGCAGCGAAAUGCGAUAAGUAAUGUGAAUUGCAGAAUUCAGUGAAUCAUCGAAUCUUUGAACGCAUCUUGCGCUCCUUGGUAUUCCGAGGAGCAUGCCUGUUUGAGUGUCAUUAAUAAUAUCAACCCUCUUCUCUUGUUGAGUGUUGGAUGUGGGGGUUGUUGCUGGCUCCUCUUUUGUGAGGGUCAGCUCCCCUAAAAUCCAUUAGCGGAACAAUUUGUUGACCGUUCGUUGGUGUGAUAAGUUAUCUACGCUAUUGAACGUGAGGCAGUUCANCUUCUAACUGUCCAUUGACUUGGACAAAUCUUUUUUUUUCAUUGAUUGUGACCUCAAAUCAGGUAAGGACUACCCGCUGAACUUAAGCAUAUCAAUA
rnacentral:rRNA from 1 species